AAAAUUACCCAUUUACAUAAUCUAGCAAACUUUAAGCUAGCAAUCUUGUGACCACAAGUUUAUUACUAUGGACAUUUGCAUUUGUCUACUUCUAAUAUAUGAAAGAAUUAAAGGGGUAAGCUAUAGCCCAUGCCAUGCAUUUGAGGCGCUGGUGGGUGCUCACUCCUAGGCUGACACGUUGUAUGCAAAAAAAAUUUGACUUCUUUUAACUUUCUUUCAAGGAUCUGCCGCUGAGGGCCACCGAAUAAUCUAGAGCACUACCCACCCCAAUCCAUCGCUCCUUCCCUAAUAAUCUUGAGAGGGAGAGAGAGAGAUGGAGAGAAAGAGGAGCUGCACUGGAGUCUCUUUUCUCCCAGCUUGCACAAUGCGUACACUCCUGAAUUAUUUAAUCAAGUUACAAGGAAAUUCAUUAACAAUACUGAAAAAGGUCUGCCUAUAUUGCUUCUAAUUGCCAACAAUUGAACUUUAUAAAAAAAAUGUACAUUCAGGAAAAAUAGUAAUUUUUGUUUUGCAAUUUGCCAAAUAUUUUGUACAUGCCAAAAAACUAUAGAUAUGCAUGACACACCUCUUAAGGGACAUUAGCCGCAAUUCUGAUCUUCCGACGGUCCUUGGACGGAUUCCUAGGGUAUGAGAAUUCAUAAGACAAAAAGCAGGAACACUACCUGAACUGGUUUUCGUCAUGGUGGACUGUCUGGUUAGAUCAAACACAUACCUUAUAUUUUAUUAUGUUUUGCUUCAUGUAAAAAGCUUAGGACCGUGUCUAAUGAAAAAUUAAGUUAUUCUGACAGGGAACUACCAUGGAGUAAAUGGUGCCACAACAUAAAACAAACAAGUUCAAGAAUAAACUGAAAGCAAGGCGCUCUCUACCGAAUUCGAAAUUUUGAUCUUCAGGAUGCCAAGAAGAUUUACAAAGCAGUGACUUUCCGUUGAGAAUUUGCUUGCUAAAA
rnacentral:lncRNA from 1 species